AGUCAGUGAGACCAAGAACCCACCAAUUCCAGACACAUCAGGGGUGGAUCUUCUGUUGACCUUGGUGGAUAGAUUUAAUUGAGUGGUGAAAAAGAAGGUGGCCUUCUAACUAGGGAAGAACACUGAUGACGGCCCAGAAGUGAGGAGGAGUGUAGUGUACCAAAGCACUAGAGUUUGUCAUUUCCACUCCCAUGCUUUGACUCGUCUUUCUCUUGAAGUGAGCAGAAACAUCCUCCCCAACUUUCAGCAUGACUUUCAACAAUGCUGUUGGGUUGUGUUUGGGCUUCAGUCUCCUUGAUACAGAAGGGCUGGGCUCCCAGCUAAACCCCCCGCUGAAUCCUGGAACUGUGGCCCUAAGUGAAACAGCUUACCCCGUUUUUCCACCCAAAUGUUGCCUUUUUGGCCUGCCCCGCCCCUAUCUUGUGCCCCAAAAAGACUUCAGCCGGCAGAGCAACAGAAGCAGCUGAGCGGCAAUCAGAGAAGCAACUGAGCAUCAGAGACUGUGGACAGACGCAGCUAACUUCAGAUGGUGCAGCUUUGUGGAGAGGGGCCUGGCUGGAGAUGGCUGGGCUUCAGGGAAAGAUCCCCUUCCCAUCAUCCCCUUCCGUUUCCAGCCUCCGUUUCUGCUGAGAGCCACCCACCACCCAAUAAAUUCCUCCACAUGCAUCCCCUUUCAAAUGGUUCAUGUGACCUGAUUCUUCCUGGACAUUGGACAAGAACCCAGGUGCUGAGAGGGCAGGGGCUGCCACCCUGACCCUCCACCAAGCCGGUUGGCACUUGGCUGUUUCCAGACAUAAGAGCUGAAACAGCAUUGGUUGUAACAUGCUUGGACGACGCUACUCGGCCCGCACAGAACCUGCUCCUAGCAGAGAGGAGUGAUUGGCGGUUCCAGCAUUUGUUCAUUCUGGUUCCUGCACACUCUCGCUUGCAUGCUGUCUCCUGUGAGGAGUGGCCAACGCCGGGCUGAGUGAAAUGAGCCACUCCAGUUUCUGCCCAUGAAGGGGAUCAAGGGAACUAUCCCAUCUCAUCUGAAGGCUUGUCCUGGAUACGUCAGACAACCUGCAAUGAAUGUUUGUGCUGAGGACCGAGACCAGCUGUGUCAAUGUUAACUGCUGGUUCCAGGAUACUCUUUCCCAGGUGGAUGAGGGUGAAAACAAUAAAGAAUGUCACUCAUUGCUUCAGGGAAUUCCUGAAAACCAAUUAUCCAGGUGAUCCUGGCCCUCUGUCCCAAAGCCACAGACGCUGCAGGCAACUGAGUCCGCUCAGAGGAGGCCACUGAGCCUACAAGAUAGGACAGGAGAGAUUGAGCUAUAAAACCAUGACAAGUGCAUGGAGCAGCUAUUUGAGCACCAGGAAAGGAAAUGGUACGCAGCAGUUUGGGAUGGCCCCAGCAGAUGAAAUACAACAGAGUCAGUGUGAGACUGCUGGAUUUCCUCACUGUCCCCUGGCUGGGACUCCAGACAGCCCCAAACCUGAAGGGGCACAAACCUGAAAACAAAAAGAAGUCCAGAAAGCCCUCUUGUUCAGGAUCGAACUUGGGAAAGAAAACUUAUUUGGCUCAAAGUGAAGGCUCAGUCCCCUGCACAAGCAGGUGGUUCACACCUGUGUUCUCAUCUCUCUUAUACCAGCGCCUCUCCCUGGGUUCACACUGAUGUCCUAUGGAUGGAGACGGGGCUUCCUGCACCAGGUCACUCCACAGCCCCUGUAACCUGAAGCCCUGCAGACCAGCCUUGUUCAAUCACAAUGUGAUGUGAGCCUCAUGGGAAUCCCACUGUCUAGUCAUCAUGUUAUAAAUACAAAGAGAAGAAGUCAAUGAGUUUAAAUAAUGUAUUUUAUUUACCUAGCAUAUCAAAAAGAGUAUCAUUUUCAUAUAUAAUCUAAGUACAAUUAUUUAUGAUAUAUAUCAUAUACUUUGCAUGGCUAUUGUUAUUAUUUUUUGAAGAAUCUUUAUGUGGAGA
rnacentral:lncRNA from 1 species